GACGAACGCUGGCGGCGUGCCUAAUACAUGCAAGUUGAGCGCUGAAGGUUGGUACUUGUACCAACUGGAUGAGCAGCGAACGGGUGAGUAACGCGUGGGGAAUCUGCCUUUGAGCGGGGGACAACAUUUGGAAACGAAUGCUAAUACCGCAUAAAAACUUUAAACACAAGUUUUAAGUUUGAAAGAUGCAAUUGCAUCACUCAAAGAUGAUCCCGCGUUGUAUUAGCUAGUUGGUGAGGUAAAGGCUCACCAAGGCGAUGAUACAUAGCCGACCUGAGAGGGUGAUCGGCCACAUUGGGACUGAGACACGGCCCAAACUCCUACGGGAGGCAGCAGUAGGGAAUCUUCGGCAAUGGACGAAAGUCUGACCGAGCAAACGCCCGCGUGAGUGAAAGAAAGGUUUUUCGGAUUCGUAAAAACUUC
rnacentral:rRNA from 1 species